GAUGAACGCUGGCGGCGUGCCUAAUACAUGCAAGUCGAGCGAACAGACGAGGAGCUUGCUCCUCUGACGUUAGCGGCGGACGGGUGAGUAACACGUGGAUAACCUACCUAUAAGACUGGGAUAACUUCGGGAAACCGGAGCUAAUACCGGAUAAUAUAUUGAACCGCAUGGUUCAAUAGUGAAAGACGGUUUUGCUGUCACUUAUAGAUGGAUCCGCGCCGGAUUAUCUAGUUGGUACGGUAACGGCUUACCAAGGCAACGAUGCGUAGCCGACCUGAGAGGGUGAUCGGUCACACGGGAACUGAGACACGGUCCAGACUCCUAAGGGAGUCAGCAGUAGGCAAUCUUCCGCAAUGGGCGUAAGCUGGACGGUGCAACGCCGCGUGAGUUAUGAAGGUCUUCGGUUCGUAAAACUCUGUUAUUAUGGAAGAACAAAUGUGUCAGUAACUAUGCACGUCUUGACGGUACCUAAACAGAAAGCCACGGCUAACUACGUG
rnacentral:rRNA from 1 species